AUUCUGUUCUAUUUCUAACACUGUGUGCUAAGAAGUACUCCGAUAUCUUAAACAAGAGUGAUGUAGGAGAAUAAAUACCAGCCUCAGAAUUACAGCCUGGUUGGCUCUUCUGCACUUUGUCUAUGAAAUAAGGGAAGUACCUGCAUCUUCUCCAUUGAAAGUCUUCCUAGUUGUCAACAGCAGAAUCCUUUCUACUUAUUCUACAAAAUGAGAUAUAAAGAUGUACUCAUACUUGCCAAUAUCAUAGUUGUGUGGAAGAAAUAUACAUCAGUUUGAGCUUCUUGGAACAAGUCUAAAAGCCACAGCACUGAAAGAAAUCAACCAAUGAACUCGUGUCUCUAUAGAGUCAGCAGAGGCCUGCUCAGGUAGCUUCCAUGAUGACUGACAGCUCCAGAAAGGCACUCCACUGAUAAUUUCUGCAUCAGUCAAACAAGUGUCUAGAGCCCUGUCCAAAUCCAUCUAUAUGGUCAAGCAAAAAUCAUAAUCAGGACACUAAUCUAACAGAGUCUCAGAAAUGUACUUUGUUUUGUAGACUAUGGUUUCAGAGAGGUAUAUGAGAGGUCAGGUAGUAUGGGAACCAUGUAAAAUCCUCAAUAAAAAAUACCCUCAAUUGAAUUUAGUAUUUGAAACCCCAGGCUCAUAUCAUGUGUGUUCUUUUGUGAUUGGGUUACCUCACUCAGGAUGAUAUCCUCCAGAUCCAUCCAUUUGUCUAAGAGUUUCUUAAAUUCAUUGUUUUGAAUAGCUGAGUAGUACUCCACUGUGUAAAUGUAUCACAUUUUCUGUAUCCAUUACUCUGUUGAGGGACAUCUGGGUUCUUUCCAGCUUCUGGCUAUUAUAAAUAAAGCUGCUAUGAACAUAGUUGAGCACAUGUCCUUAUUACAUAUUGGAGCAUCUUCU
rnacentral:lncRNA from 1 species